AUAUAACAAUAUUAAAUUUUUCCUUCAUUCUUUAUUAUUGUGCAUUGAAAUUAUUUGAUUCAUUCUUCUCCACAAAUCUUACUAGUAUAGAUCAACACUCAAAGUUAAUUACUAUAUAGUAAAUAAAAAAAUGUAAGUAGAGAAUACAACGAUACUAUCUAUUCUAGAAUGGUUUUAACUAAGAUUUAAAUAAAAAAAUAUAUAUCCCUUCGUCAGCUUUCUUCUCGCUAAACGUUGCACAAGCUCUAGAGUAUGAUGAAAAAGUAGAAUUUUCUACACACAAUUGAAAAAAAAUUAACAAUAAAAGGAGCCGUGCGUAAGUUUGUGGUUUGUGAAGAGUAGGGUUUGCAUUUAUAUAAUGUUAUAUUAAUGCUAUUAUUAUGGGCUAAUGAUAAGUGGGUUGGUCAGUUGAGUCAUGUAGAUAUAAUUGAGGGGAGAGGGGGAUUUUGUUUUGGGCUAGAUAGAAAAGUAGGGUAAAGCCUAAUAAUCAAUUCAAUUGUUGUUUUUUUUUAGCGGGUAAUCGGUUCGGUUUCGGUUCGAUGGCGUAAAUAUCAUACCCGCACCGUCAAGAAUCGGUUCAUUAAAAUAAAAAUCAUAUACGCCCCAUUGCACCAUCGGUUCGAUUUUUUUCGCCUCAUUCGGUUCGGUUAAUCGCGGUUUUCGGUUUUGACAGUUCAAAUUGCCAUCCUUAUUUCCUCUUUGCUUUUAAUACCAUGUCUUUUGUGACUACAUUUUACUGAAUGAUUGGUUGUCCCAGUUAUUUGUUACUUUGAAUGUUGGUUUGAAAAGUGAGCUGGGCAGCGAUAAUUAUAAAGUAAUUCCUCAUUCUCGAUGCUGUUAUCAUGGCAUGAUGGACAAUUAUAGCAUCCAUAGAAUUUGAGCUUCCACCCAUCUAAUUCUGAAUGGCUUUUCUGAAUUCUAUUAUUUAUUUUUCUCAUUUUCAAUAUAAAUUGCCAUCUAUUUGUUAUCUUUUGUUGAAUGGUGGGAAAAGUAAGUUGCAGCUUGGUUUAAUUAAAUUCUAUUUGGUGAUACUCAAUACGUGUUGCAUAUUGCUAUUACAGGAACUAAUUUGGAAAUUUAUAUUAGAUUGAUUCGUAGUGAUACUUGGUGGUUUAAAUAGUGCUAUGUUGAUGUCAUUUCAAAUUAACAGGAAUGACAUUUGGAUUAUUGGUGCAUUUCAUCCUGGUACAGGGUUCAUACACUUUCCCAGCAAGUUGAAUUUUGGAUUGCAUCAUAUAUCUUAUUUGACACCUGCAACUGACUAUUAUCAUUGAUAAUGCUCUCUUGAAUUGGUCCCUACGAAAUUGUCUCUAGAUCGUAGAACUGAAAUAAGCCAUCUGAAGAACAAUGAAUUGAAUUUGAGAAGACUCUCAUUUCAAUGCAGAAGUGCCUUAUCAAGGGCAAGAAGUUUAUAUUGAUUAUAUAUUCAAUGCAAGAUUUGUAGUAUGUUUAGUUGUGCUUAAAAGUGGCUUUUUAGCUUCUCUUGGUAGCACGCAGAGUUGAUAAAAAAGUGGCUUUUAAACAUGAUCAAAUGUCCUCUUAAUAUCUUGCAUUGAUUAUUGAUUAUUAGAUAAUCAAGGUAAACUUUUUCACUUAAAUUAUUAUAUCAGAGCAAAAAGUGGGUUUCCUAGUCAGUUUCAGAAGAAAAAAUAUUGAAAAAAAACUAGUUUGGCACGUAUUGUUGUAAACUAGGAAACUUAUGCGACAAGAUGCCAUGCUGGUUUGGUCAACUAACAAUGUUGACCAGUUAACCUACUGCCUGAAUCAAUAAUUGAAUAACACUGGUUUUGGAUUGCACAUUUGACACCUCUGGCUCUGAGCAUGUAUUGCCAGCAUAUUAUUUAGCUAAGCUUAUAAAAAAGUACGAAAAUUAUUUUGUCACAAAACCUAUUGAAGUAUAAACUUUAAAGUUACUCUUAAAAAACUUUGUUUGCUUAACAUUUUUUUAUCUUUCGGAGUGUUAAAAUUUUUGGCUCAAAUUUACAUUUUUAGAAGCGUGUUAUUCAGUCCUGAUCUCCUGUCUGCGGUGAGCAGAAGUUAUCUUGCUUACCGUUGACGUCGUAAGUAUUAUUUUUUUUUUCCUCUUUUAACCCCACGCACCUCGCCCCCUUUUCAUUUAUUUUCCGUACCCACCCUCUUUUUCCUUUAUUCCCCCGCAUCAUUUUCAUUUAUCGCUAAUGAAUGUCCUGAUGAUUCAAUUUACAUAUGUUUUCUUACUAGUAUAUGUAGUGACCUUUGUUCUACAAUUGUUGUCUCCGAUGCCUAUAUCUUGUUUUUGAUAUCUUGGUUCUCGCAUUUGUUAGUACAGUUGUUCUAUUUCUCGACCGCCUUACUUGGAAGGUGUUGAGAAUGAGUUGUUUGUAAUAUGUGGUGGUAUAUAAUCUUUAAGUUGGUGGCAAGUCUUCUAAUUGUUUCUAUGCCCAAGUUUUUCUAGGAGCUAACAUGGUAUACCUGGUUCUUGGCAUUACAAAUUUGUUGAAUGUGGAAAGGUUUGAAUUUGAAUAAAUGUCAUUGCUAAUUUUGAUCCAAAAUUCAGGAGAAAGUAUUUCUAUCUGAGAGUUCUAAUUUGAGAUAUUAUAAGGAUAGCAAUAAAGUUUUUAAUGUGGUCUUGUUCUUAUCCACUAUCCUUUUCAGGAUCAUGGUUCAAGAAUUCAAGCAAUUCAUAGCCUUUCUUGGCUCAUUCUCUUGGUAUGGACCAAAAUUUGGGUUAAACCACUUUGCAAUAAGAAUAAUGUCAGAAGCAGUGCCAAAAGAUGAUUGUGUUUUAAACAAAUCGAUGAUAGAGUGUUAUGUGAUAUUAUAUCAAUCUUUAUGCUAAUUAUUCUGGCCAUGUACCAUGGUUCCGAAAAAUGUUGUCGAUGAAGUAGCAUUUGUUUCUACCCAUAAUGGAGUUUUAGAACUCUACUUUCUUGAUAAACCUCUAAAGGUUUAAUCAUCUUAUUUGUUCAUGCUCCCCCCCUUUUUUCAAGAAUGGAUAAAGUGAUGGAAAUAUACAACUAUGGCCUUCGAGUCAACGUCCUAACAUCCCAAGUUAGACCAAUAGAAUUGUGGUCGGACUGAUAAUCUAUCUUUACAACUUCUUGCCUGACGAAACUCUGAUCACCAGUUUUAUAUGAACCAGCAGUACUAAUAUGAUUGAAAAGGAAUGUGGC
rnacentral:lncRNA from 1 species